rnacentral:snoRNA from 1 species
AAAUGGCACUAUGAUGAUUACAUAGUUCAACUUAUUAAAUUAUGAAGAUUAAUUUCUUUCGCUCCUAUCUGAUAUAAACGCUAUUU